rnacentral:rRNA from 1 species
CCUACGGGGGGCAGCAGUGGGGAAUAUUGGUCAAUGGACGGAAGUCUGAACCAGCCAUGCCGCGUGAAGGAAGACUGCCCUAUGGGUUGUAAACUUCUUUUGCAGCAGAGCAAUAAGGCGUACGCGUACGCCGAUGAGAGUAUGUUGCGAAUAAGCAUCGGCUAACUCCGUGCCAGCAGCCGCGGUAAUACGGAGGAUGCGAGCGUUAUCCGGAUUUAUUGGGUUUAAAGGGUGCGUAGGCUGUUUUGUAAGUCAGCGGUGAAAGACCGGGGCCCAACUCCGGAAGUGCCGUUGAUACUGCAUUGCUAGAGUUCCCCUGCCGUGGGAGGAAUGAGUGGUGUAGCGGUGAAAUGCAUAGAUAUCACUCAGAACACCGAUUGCGAAGGCAUCUCACGAAGAGGCAACUGACGCUGAGGCACGAAAGCGUGGGGAUCAAACAGGAUUAGAUACCCCGGUAGUC